CCUACGGGGGGCUGCAGUGGGGAAUAUUGGACAAUGGGGGGAACCCUGAUCCAGCCAUGCCGCGUGUGUGAAGAAGGCCCUCGGGUUGUAAAGCACUUUCAGUGAGGAAGAACGCCUGGUGGUUAAUACCCAUCAGGAAAGACAUCACUCACAGAAGAAGCACCGGCUAACUCCGUGCCAGCAGCCGCGGUAAUACGGAGGGUGCGAGCGUUAAUCGGAAUUACUGGGUGUAAAGCGCGCGUAGGUGGCUUGAUAAGCCGGUUGUGAAAGCCCCGGGCUCAACCUGGGAACGGCAUCCGGAACUGUCAAGCUAGAGUGCAGGAGAGGAAGGUAGAAUUCCCGGUGUAGCGGUGAAAUGCGUAGAGAUCGGGAGGAAUACCAGUGGCGAUGGCGGCCUUCUGGACUGACACUGACACUGAGGUGCGAAAGCGUGGGUAGCAAACAGGAUUAGAUACCCCAGUAGUC
rnacentral:rRNA from 1 species